AUACCUUUCUCGGCCUUUUGGCUAAGAUCAAGUGUAGUAUCUGUUCUUAUCAGUUUAAUAUCUGAUACGUGGGUCAUCGGCUCACAUGAUAUUAACUCAAUUUUUCUUGGGGAAAGGUCCAUCAAGGUAGCUUGCUACUUGGGUCUUUGAGUGUCGCCUUAGUAUUGCACCAUUGCCUUGGCCUGGCACACCCCAC
rnacentral:snRNA from 1 species